rnacentral:tRNA from 1 species
AGGGUAGUAUAUCAAUUGGUUCAGAUUACCUGCUUUGGGAGCAGGAGGUUCCCGGUUCGAGUCCGGGCUACCCUA